rnacentral:rRNA from 1 species
AGAAUCAACGCUGGCGGCGUGCCUAACACAUGCAAGUCGAACGAGAAAGUGGAGCAAUCCAUGAGUAAAGUGGCGCACGGGUGAGUAACACGUGAAUUAUCUACCUCCGAGUGGGGAAUAAACUGAGAGAAAUCUUAGCUAAUACCGCAUAACACUUACGAGUCAAAGCAGCAAUGCGCUUGGAGAGGAGUUCGCGGCCGAUUAGUUAGUUGGCGGGGUAAUGGCCCACCAAGACGAUGAUCGGUAU